UCAGUUCGGAUUGGAGUCUGNAACCCGACUCCAUGAAGCUGGAUUCGCUAGUAAUCGCGCAUCAGCCACGGCGCGGUGAAUACGUUCCCGGGCCUUGUACACACCGCCCGUCAAGCCAUGGAAGCCGGGGGGUGCCUGAAGUGCGCUGCCGCAAGGAGCGCCCUAGGGUAAAACCGGUGACUGGGGCUAAGUCGUAACAAGGUAGC
rnacentral:rRNA from 1 species